AUGCAGAGUCUCCGCCGCCACCACCCAUGCUCGCCGGCGGCGCCGCCCCUGGACGACGACAACCUGCUCUCCGAGAUCCUCCUCCGCCUACCCCCGCAGCCGUCCUCCCUCCCCCGCGCCUCCGCCGUCUGCAAGCGAUGGCGCCUCCUCGUCUCCGACCCAGGCUUCUCCCGCCGCUUCCGCAUCCACCACCGCCGCAACCCUCCCCUCCUCGGUAUUUUCGAUGAACGCUCUGGCGAGAUCUCCUUCCUACCUACUCUGGAUGCCCCCAAUCGUAUCCCGCCCGGUUGCUUAUCUUUGAAGUUCGACGGCGGCGACCGCUUCCUGCCCCUCGGAUGUCGCCAUGGCCUUGUACUCGUCUUCCACUUCAACGAAUCUUGGAAACAGAUCCUGGUGUGCGAUCCUGCCACCGCCGACCAGCACCGCAUUGCCUUGCCCCCAGGGCUUGCCACACUUAUGGAGAAGACCCCCUUCAAUGGAGCUGUGCUCCGGGCUGCCGGAGAGACCCACUUCCGAGUGGUCUUGACAGUGGCAGACAACGACAACAAGCAACACUUACGAGCUCUCGCCUGGGUUUACUCGUCAGGGACCGGCUUAUGGGGUGAUGUCAUCUCAGCACCGGUUCCACCUGAGGUUCCUAUGAGUGAGUAUUCCACCUUGGUUUUUAUUGCUAGGCAGCAUGCUGUGCUGGUUGGGGAUUCCCUUUACUGGAGGCUUGUUGGGGAUUUUUAUGGAAUUCUCGAGUUCGAUAUGAAGAAGCAAAGCCUAGCUGUGAUACGGGUGCCGGUGCAUAUCCUUGAAGAGGGCCAUUACAUAUUCUUGAUUGUGCGGGCAGAGGGUGGUGGCCUUGGUUUAAUCCUCUGGACAGGCUGCAACAUCCAAUUAUGGAAGAGGAAGAAUGAUUGUGAUGGUGCUGCUUCAUGGGUUCUUGGAAGAACUAUUGAACUGGACAAGCUACUUUUCCUGAAUUCUGAGGAGGAUGACAUAAAGAUACUAGGGUUCGCCGAGGAAAAUAAUGUGUUGUUACUGUGGACUGGUGGCGCGCUUUUUAUGGUCCAUCUUGAGUCACUGCAGUUCAAGAGAGUUUUUGAAAGCGUCCACAUUCCUCAUUGCCAGCCAUUUGAAAGUGUCUAUACUGCAGGUAUCUAG
rnacentral:rRNA from 1 species